UACGUAGGGUGCAAGCGUUAAUCGGAAUUACUGGGCGUAAAGCGUGCGCAGGCGGUUUUGUAAGUCUGUCGUGAAAUCCCCGGGCUCAACCUGGGAAUUGCGAUGGAGACUGCAAGGCUAGAAUCUGGCAGAGGGGGGUAGAAUUCCACGUGUAGCAGUGAAAUGCGUAGAGAUGUGGAGGAACACCGAUGGCGAAGGCAGCCCCCUGGGCUGAGAUUGACGCUCAGGCACGAAAGCGUGGGGAGCAAACAGGG
rnacentral:rRNA from 1 species